rnacentral:lncRNA from 1 species
UAAAUUUCAAAAUAUACCGAGAGAAAGAAUCUGGCCGAAUGCUUGUAGUAAUGUUUUGGUGAAUAUGAAUUUUUAAACAUAUGAUUCUUAUGAUUAUGUGUAACUGUUCGUGACUAUCCUAAAAGGAAGGGGAGAAAAUCCUUUUUCUCUUAUUCUCGUUGUAUGUUCUGAGAAUUAAGAAUGCUUUUAAAUGUGUCAAUAGCUU